rnacentral:lncRNA from 1 species
AUCCGCUGCUCUGUUAAGUGAUCACCACAUUCAUUGUUCUCGUUUCUAUUAUUUCUGAAAAAAAUCUUCAGGAUUCUGCUUGUGGGAGUGGAUGACAUUUUUACAGUGUUUACAGACACAAAAUGAACAAGAUGUCUGUGGCAACCCUCAGACCAUUGACGCCUUCUCUCCUAUGUAUCAAAUCACACAUUUGGACGUUGACUGAACCCUCACAUGUCAGAUGCUCAAUAUUGAGGUAUAGUAAAAGGGAGCAUGAACUUGAGAAAAUACGCUUUCAACACAAAGCUGUAAUAAUAUAAGGUCAAAUAAGAUUCUGCAUUGGAGAUAGAAAACUCUGAAGGAAGCUUUAUCUAUUCCAGAAUGUCAUAUAGCUGGUAUAAGGUUGUCUUCAUUCAUUUCCACAGUUUCUCUGGAGGUUCCAACAAGAUACGGUCUCCAUUGCCCAUUGCUCUGGACCCCAGCCAUCACCCAGUGCAGCAGUGAUGCCUUAUGACAAGUCAGCACCUGGUCUGAACUCUGCUCUCUUUGCACUGAAUUCUUUGAGUUUUUAUUCCAAGUUCAGUCAUUGGUUUUAGUAUUGGUUCCCAUCUGCUUGGCAUCCUUGGUGGAAUUGGGCUUCUUUUUUCAAUUUCUUUUUGCUGUCUUUUUGUUUUACUGUGUUGAGUAGUGCUAUCUAAAUGUGUUUAUCAUAAAAGAAGCAGCACAUGAUCAUAGGCCCAUGAGCCUGUUUUUCAAGCCAGCCAAACAGCACAUUUAGUUUGACAUUCACACUGGACCUCUGUCCAUUUUUAUAAACUUCGCUUUGGGUCAUCAAUAAAACUAAAUGAAGUUC